UGGCGGACGGGUGAGUAAUGUCUGGGAAACUGCCUGAUGGAGGGGGAUAACUACUGGAAACGGUAGCUAAUACCGCAUAACGUCGCAAGACCAAAGAGGGGGACCUUCGGGCCUCUUGCCAUAAGAUGUGCCCAGAUGGGAUUAGCUAGUAGGUGGGGUAACGGCUCACCUAGGCGACGAUCCCUAGCUGGUCUGAGAGGAUGACCAGCCACACUGGAACUGAGACACGGUCCAG
rnacentral:rRNA from 1 species